rnacentral:tRNA from 1 species
GCGGCGGUACCCAAGCGGUCAAAGGGGGCAGCCUCAAGAGCUGCUGGCUUAGUGUCUUCGCAGGUUCGAAUCCUGUCCGCCGCA